CCGCCGGUCACCGGCACACACGGGGGCCACGGCUCCCGUGGGACACACGCAGUAGUCCGAGCGAGGGAAGACCUGGUGUUGAGGGGGUUCCAGCGCUGCCUGUGGCAAGGGGAACACAGGCAGGGGCCUCCCACGAAGAUAAUGGGAUGGCUGUGGAGUCAAGCAAGGACUGCUGGUAAAAAACAGCAACUGUUGAUAUUAACACACCAAGAGAAAGAAUGAGAUGUGGCUGCAGAAGAAGGGCAAGGUGAGAUAGCACAACACUGGAAAAACAUCCUUGUUGGAGUUCCUGCUGGUAAGCACAGUACAGCACAAGCACAGAACUGAGUGGCAGGAAGUGGGCAUGGACUAUAAGGUGGGGUUAAGACCACUAAAGACCCCCCAAACCCCUCUGACCCAUUUCCAGGAAGACCUGAAAAUACAGACUGUGCAUGAUAAGAAAUUUGCAUAGAAAAUGAGAAAUCCAUCUUCAGGACGGGGAAACCUAUCCAUAAAAGGGUACCCUGCAAUUUCCAUGCCAUGUGUGUAAUUUACUAGUAAAACUUUCUGAUUAUUUGCAAACCCUCCAACUUUUGACAUUCCUCUCAACCAUGAGCAUUCACGAACCUUAGGGGCUUCCUUCCCCUUAAAGGAGAGUCAUCAUGGAUUCCCCGUCCCCUUGUCCUCUUGGCCCCGUGGGACAUGACUGAAGAGGUGACAAGGGACAGACAGAUGUGUGUACCCCCCCCACCAGGGCAUGGCUCCCCCAUCACGUCCAUGCUGUGUCCCACAGUGACCAGUGGAGACAGGCGCUGGAUGAACGUGCCUUUAUCUACUGUGGCAAAAAAUAAUAGUUAUUAAAAAAACAACCAAAAUAAAGGUCUAAAGACAUAAAAAGGAGAAGGGAUGGUGUUGGAGCCACCAGACCCCACGCAGAGCAUCACAUCUGCCCGGCUCCAGCCCACCCGUCCUGGUGACCUGGCACACAGUGCCGACCCAUACCAGGGCCUCCUUACACUGGCUGUUCCCUUUGUGCUCAUCCCUGACAAGCCUCCUCCCCAUGCACACCCAUCCACGAGGAGGAGGAGAACGUCUCAAGCAAUGCAGGUGGGCUGGACGUGCCAAGGAUGGACGCCCUGGCAUUUAGUAGGAAACAGGGUAUCUGUCCAAGUUCUGUGGCAGCAGCAUGGGGAGGGAAGGGAUACAGAGAAAAAAAAAAGGGAAAAACCCAAAAACAAUCCAAAG